UUGACGUUAGCGACAGAAGAAGCACCGGCUAACUCCGUGCCAGCAGCCGCGGUAAUACGGAGGGUGCGAGCGUUAAUCGGAAUUACUGGGCGUAAAGCGCAUGCAGGUGGUUUGUUAAGUCAGAUGUGAAAGCCCGGGGCUCAACCUCGGAAUAGCAUUUGAAACUGGCAGACUAGAGUACUGUAGAGGGGGGUAGAAUUUCAGGUGUAGCGGUGAAAUGCGUAGAGAUCUGAAGGAAUACCGGUGGCGAAGGCGGCCCCCUGGACAGAUACUGACACUCAGAUGCGAAAGCGUGGGGAGCAAACAGGAUUAGAUACCCUGGUAGUCCACGCCGUAAACGAUGUCUACUUGGAGGUUGUGGCCUUGAGCCGUGGCUUUCGGAGCUAACGCGUUAAGUAGACCGCCUGGGGAGUACGGUCGCAAGAUUAAAACUCAAAUGAAUUGACGGGGGCCCGCACAAGCGGUGGAGCAUGUGGUUUAAUUCGAUGCAACGCGAAGAACCUUACCUACUCUUGACAUCCAGAGAACUUUCCAGAGAUGGAUUGGUGCCUUCGGGAACUCUGAGACAGGUGC
rnacentral:rRNA from 1 species